rnacentral:misc_RNA from 1 species
GAAAUGCGAUAAGUAAUGUGAAUUGCAGAAUUCAGUGAAUCAUCGAAUCUUUGAACGCACCUUGCGCUCCUUGGUAUUCCUUGGAGCAUGCCUGUUUGAGUAUCAUGAAAUCUUCAAAGUAAAUCUUUUGUUAACUCAAUUGGUUUCUACUUUGGUAUUGGAGGUCUUUGCAGCUUCACACCUGCUCCUCUUUGUUCAUUAGCUGGAUCUCAGUGUUAUGCUUGGUUCCACUCGGCGUGAUAAGUUAUCUAUCGCUGAGGACACUGUAAAAGGUGGCCAAGGUAAAUGCAGAUGAACCGCUUCUAAUAGUCCAUUGACUUGGACAAUACUUUUAUGAUCUGAUCUCAAAUCAGGUAGAACUACCCGCUGAACUUAAGC